rnacentral:rRNA from 1 species
GAGAGUGGCGCACGGGUGAGUAACGCGUAUGCAACCUACCUGUAACAGAGGGAUAGCCCAUAGAAAUGUGGAUUAAUACCUCAUAGUUCUAUUAAGCCGCAUGGUUUGAUAGAUAAAACUCCGGUGGUUACAGAUGGGCAUGCGUGACAUUAGCUAGUUGGUGAGGUAACGGCUCACCAAGGCAACGAUGUCUAGGGGUUCUGAGAGGAUGAUCCCCCACACUGGUACUGAGACACGGACCAGACUCCUACGGGAGGCAGCAGUGAGGAAUAUUGGUCAAUGGGCGCAAGCCUGAACCAGCCAUCCCGCGUGCAGGAUGACGGCCCUAUGGGUUGUAAACUGCUUUUAUACACCAAGAAAAACUCCCACGUGUGGGAGCCCGACGGUAGUGUAUGAAUAAGCAUCGGCUAACUCCGCGCCAGCAGCCGCGGUAAUACGGAGGAUGCAAGCGUUAUCCGGAUUCAUUGGGUUUAAAGGGUGCGUAGGCGGCUUUUUAAGUCAGUGGUGAAAUCCUGUCGCUUAACGAUAGAAUUGCCAUUGAUACUGAAGAGCUUGAGUUUAGUUGAGGUAAGCGGAAUGUGUAGUGUAGCGGUGAAAUGCUUAGAUAUUACACAGAACACCGAUUGCGAACGCAGCUUACUAAACUAACACUGACGCUGAUGCACGAAAGCGUGGGGAGCGAACAGGAUUAGAUACCCUGGUAGUCCACGCCGUAACGAUGCUCACUCGCUGUAUGCGAUACACAGUAUGCGCCAAGCGAAAGCAU